rnacentral:rRNA from 1 species
AGCAGCCGCGGUAAUUCCAGCUCCAAUAGCGUAUAUUAAAGUUGUUGCAGUUAAAAAGCUCGUAGUUGAAUUUCGGAAUCUGUCCGUUGGUCGGGCUUCACUGUCCGUACUGAUGUGAUGGGUUCUUACCUUCUGAAUAACCAGCAUGUCAUUAACUUGGUGUGUUGGGGAAGCAGGACUAUUACCUUGAAAAAUUAGAGUGCUCAAAGCAGGCUAGUGCCUGAAUACAUUAGCAUGGAAUAAUAAAAUAGGACGGCAUGGUUCUAUUUUGUUGGUUUCUAGGAUCACCGUAAUGAUUAAUAGGGAUAGUUGGGGGCAUUAGUAUUCAAUUGUCAGAGGUGAAAUUCUUGGAUUUAUUGAAGACUAACUUCUGCGAAAGCAUUUGCCAAGGAUGUUUUCAUUAAUCAAGAACGAAAGUUAGGGGAUCGAAGACGAUCAGAUACCGUCGUAGUCUUAACCAUAAACUAUGCCGACUAGGGAUCGGACGAUGUUAAUUUAUAAUGACUCGUUC